ACGUCAUCCCCACCUUCCUCCGGUUUGUCACCGGCAGUCUCAUUAGAGUGCCCAACUGAAUGUAGCAACUAAUGACAAGGGUUGCGCUCGUUGCGGGACUUAACCCAACAUCUCACGACACGAGCUGACGACAGCCAUGCAGCACCUGUGUUCCCGUUCCCUUUCGGGCACAGCCCCCUUUCAGGGGCCUCCAGGACAUGUCAAGGGUAGGUAAGGUUUUUCGCGUUGCAUCGAAUUAAUCCACAUAAUCCACCGCUUGUGCGGGUCCCCGUCAAUUCCUUUGAGUUUUAACCUUGCGGCCGUACUCCCCAGGCGGUCGACUUCACGCGUUAGCUUCGUUACUGAGAGUGUCAAACCCCCAACAACCAGUCGACAUCGUUUAGGGCGUGGACUACCAGGG
rnacentral:misc_RNA from 1 species